CACCUGGUUGAUCCUGCCAGUAGUCAUAUGCUUGUCUCAAAGAUUAAGCCAUGCAUGUCUAAGUAUAAGCUUUAAACGGCGAAACUGCGAAUGGCUCAUUAAAACAGUUAUAGUUUAUUUGGUGAUCGAUUACUAUUUGGAUAACCGUAGUAAUUCUAGAGCUAAUACAUGCGUCAAGGCCCGACUUCGGAAGGGCUGCGUUUAUUAGAUACAGAACCAACCUAGGCUCCGCCUAGUCCUUGUUGGUGAUUCAUAAUAACCCGGCGAAUCGCACGGCUUGUCCGGCGAUGGACCAUUCAAGUUUCUGACCUAUCAGCUAUGGACGGUAGGGUAUUGGCCUACCGUGGCGUUGACGGGUAACGGGGAAAUAGGGUUCGAUUCCGGAGAGGGAGCCUGAGAAACGGCUACCACAUCUAAGGAAG
rnacentral:ncRNA from 1 species